rnacentral:tRNA from 2 species
GGGCUCGUGGUCUAGCAUGGAUCAGGACGCAGGCCUGCGGAGCCUGAUAUCUCGGGUUCAAAUCCCGACGGGCCCACCA